rnacentral:rRNA from 1 species
AGUGAACGUUGGCGGCGUGGAUUAGGCAUGCAAGUCGAGCGAGAACCGUAGCAAUAUGGGGACAGCGGCGAAAGGGACAGUAAUGUGUAGGUACCUACCUCCGGGUUCGGGAUAGCUGCGGGAAACUGCAGGUAAUACCGAAUAACGUCUCCGGACCAAAGGUGUGAUUCCACCUGGAGAGGGGCCUGCAUCCUAUUAGCUUGUUGGCGGGGUAACGGCCCACCAAGGCGACGAUGGGUAGCGGGUGUGAGAGCACGACCCGCGUCAUUGGGACUGAGACACGACCCAGACACCUACGGGGGGCUGCAGUCGUGAAUCUUCGGCAAGGGGCGCAAGCCUGACCGAGCGACGCCGCGUGCGGGAUGAAGGCCUUCGGGUUGUAAACCGCUGUCGUAGAGGAGGAAAUGCAGGGGGGUUCUCCCCUCUGUUUGACCUAUUCUAGGAGGAAGGACGGGCUAAGUUCGUGCCAGCCGCCGCCGUAA